rnacentral:misc_RNA from 1 species
CUUUUUGGUUGUCUGCUUUCUUAAAAAAAAAAAAAGUUUCUAUUAAUGGUAAUACACACAGCCACUAAGAAAGUAUCCAAGUAAUUAUUGUAGCUUAAAACUAAGUGUAGUAUGAGAGUGCUAAAUUAUGAUAAAACACUUCACAACAAUAUUAAGUUUCGACGAUCCAUGAUCCAUUUAAGAACAAGUUAUUAAAGCAUUUGAGUUUAAACAUCAAGCAACAGCCA